UAUAUCAACCUGGACCAUAUAGAAACCUUAUGGGGUAAUUACUUAGAAGGCAAUAUUCCGGAUUUUAGUGAGAAUACACAAUUAAAUGAAUUGAACCUGGCGUUUAACAAACUUACAGGCACUAUACCAACGUUUAAUAACAAUAAACAUCUAAUGUCAUUGAAUUUGGAAUCUAACAGAUUCAAAGGCACUAUGCCAAACGUUUGAUAACAAUAUAUACCUAGUA